UACCCGCUGAACUUAAGCAUAUCAAUAAGCGGAGGAAAAGAAACCAACAGGGAUUGCCUCAGUAACGGCGAGUGAAGCGGCAAGAGCUCAAAUUUGAAAGCUGGCCCCUUCGGGGUCCGCGUUGUAAUUUGCAGAGGAUGCUUCGGGUGCAGCCCCCGUCUAAGUGCCCUGGAACGGGCCGUCAUAGAGGGUGAGAAUCCCGUCUGGGACGGGGUGUCUGCGUCCGUGUGAAGCUCCUUCGACGAGUCGAGUUGUUUGGGAAUGCAGCUCUAAAUGGGUGGUAAAUUUCAUCUAAAGCUAAAUACUGGCCGGAGACCGAUAGCGCACAAGUAGAGUGAUCGAAAGAUGAAAAGCACUUUGAAAAGAGAGUUAAACAGCACGUGAAAUUGUUGAAAGGGAAGCGUUUGCGACCAGACUCGCCCGCGGGGUUCAGCCGGCAUUCGUGCCGGUGUACUUCCCCGUGGGCGGGCCAGCGUCGGUUUGGGCGGCCGGUCAAAGGCCCUCGGAAUGUAUCACCUCUCGGGGUGUCUUAUAGCCGAGGGUGCAAUGCGGCCUGCCUGGACCGAGGAACGCGCUUCGGCUCGGACGCUGGCGUAAUGGUCGUAAAUGACCCGUCUUGAAACACGGACCAAGGA
rnacentral:rRNA from 1 species